rnacentral:rRNA from 1 species
GGCGUAGGCGGCUUGCCAAGUCGAAUGUAAAAUCUCCUGGCUUAACUGGGAGGGACCAUACGAUACUGGCAGGCUUGAGGACAACGGAGGGAGGUAGAAUUCCCGGUGUAGUGGUGAAAUGCGUAGAUAUCGGGAGGAAUACCAGUGGCGAAGGCGGCCUCCCAUGUUGUUUCUGACGCUGUUGCCCAAAAGUGUGGGGAGCAAACAGGAUUAGAUACCCUGGUAGUCCACACCGUAAACUAUGAACACUAGGUAUGGGGAGUAUCGACCCUCUCCGUGCCGUAGUUAACGCGUUAAGUGUUCCGUCUGGGAAGUACGGCCGCAAGGCUAA